UUUCCGGGUAUUCCGGGUCGUGGGUCAGCCACACGGCCUCAAGGCGAAUGCCGCGGUCUGCGCCGUAGCCGGAGACCGGCAUCGUCUGCGGGUAUUCCGGCGCCCUGACGCCGGAGGAGACCGCCUGUUUACGCGCCGUCGGUGACAACCGUAUCUAUUUGGAGGUUGUGCCCUUGAGGCGUGGCUUCCGGAGCUAACGCGUUAAAUAGACCGCCUGGGGAGUACGGCCGCAAGGUUAAAACUCAAAUGAAUUGACGGGGGCCCGCACAAGCGGUGGAGCAUGUGGUUUAAUUCGAUGCAACGCGAAGAACCUUACCUGGUCUUGACAUCCACAGAACUUGGCAGAGAUGCCUUGGUGCCUUCGGGAACUGUGAGACAGGUGCUGCAUGGCUGUCGUCAGCUCGUGUUGUGAAAUGUUGGGUUAAGUCCCGCAACGAGCGCAACCCUUAUCCUUUGUUGCCAGCGGUCCGGCCGGGAACUCAAAGGAGACUGCCAGUGAUAAACUGGAGGAAGGUGGGGAUGACGUCAAGUCAUCAUGGCCCUUACGACCAGGGCUACACACGUGCUACAAUGGCAUAUACAAAGAGAAGCGACCUCGCGAGAGCAAGCGGACCUCAUAAAGUAUGUCGUAGUCCGGAUUGGAGUCUGCAACUCGACUCCAUGAAGUCGGAAUCGCUAGUAAUCGUGGAUCAGAAUGCCACGGUGAAUACGUUCCCGGGCCUUGUACACACCGCCCGUCACACCAUGGGAGUGGGUUGCAAAAGAAGUAGGUAGCUUAACCUUCGGGAGGGCGCUUACCACUUUGUGAUUCAUGACUGGGGUGAAGUCGUAACAAGGUAACCGUAGGGGAACCUGCGGUUG
rnacentral:rRNA from 1 species